rnacentral:pre_miRNA from 1 species
AGGGGGGUGGGGGGUCGCUCAGCCCGGAUUGCGAGAGGGUGCAGGCCAGGUCGAGGGACCCCUCCGGUGCACG